UUUGACCUUUUGAAUUUCUUUUGUAACUUGGCAGAGAAGAAUCUAGGUUUAUUCUUCUGUUGGAUUGUUUGACAUUUCUGAUUAACUUGUAGUCUCUUUUAAAUGUUUGCAUUCUUACAGUAGAAUUUUAUAGACUUUGCUUGUUAAACGUGUGCCAAAUAUUUUUCCCCAAUUUGUCACUUGUUCUAUUUUCUCCACACUCAUUCUACUUUACCAAGUUGCUGGGUCUGCCUCUUGGUUUGCUAGCUCAUCCCUCAGUGUGGUUUGUGGGUAAGCACUGACUGCAUGUCACAUGCACAAGAAUGUUGUUGAAAUGGGAACAAUCUAUGCUGGUGGACUCUGCCAAGAUUGAAUAGAUCAAAAUGCCACCUAACUCUAUGGAGGAGAGGCGGAGAGUUUUUUUGGUUUUGCUUUUUAAAUAUAGGAAUGGUAUGACAUGGUAAGUAAGGUUGCUUCCUUUAAAGAAAAUAAUCCACAGAUCCUGUAAAAUCAAUGAACUAAAGUUGACAGAUUGAUUCAGAAUGAUGAGUUUUUUCCUCAGGGUUGACAUGACCUGCUGUACUGAACAAAGUGGUGUUUCGUCAAGCACUUGGCCAGCAUGUGUGUUAGGGCUAGCUCCAUUCUGUCCUUAUCCAUUUCUGUUCUCACUAAACCAAAAAAAUUUUUUUUGAAUGUCUAGGGUCUUAGGAGAGCUGGGCACAUUCAAAACACAAUAUGUGAUUAAGAAGAUUAAAGAAUAAUAUUUAUUGAUGGAUUACUAUGUGCCAAACUUCCAACCGGAUCCUAACGACAAUUCCAUAAGAAAGAGAUAUCAAUGAUAUUCAUCAUGAAUGCAUCCAUGGGAUGGGGUUUUUAAAUAUAUAAGAGCUCAUCUGCUGUCCAUGUGAUGGACUGACUGGAUAUGGAAGAUAUUUGGGUGACCUCUUCCCAGGUGUAUCAUCUCACUUAACCUGUAAACCCAUAGAGCUCUAUUCUCACUCAUAAAAGGCCACUAGAUCUGGACUGUUCCUAGUCAGCUCUGGUCCUUUCAGCGUUAGUCUGAAUUCUCUUUUCCCAAAGUCAGCUUGCCGUCUGUGGUUCUUUCCUGAGAAAGCUUCUGGAUUAAAACAUUUAUCUAGAAUAGGUAUUUGGAACUCAUCUCCAGGUCUUCUAAACUGGUGGGGACAGAAAGAUACAAGAGGUGGUGGGGAAAGGGAAAUAGGCCCCCUUGGUGGCUUCUUUGCCUCUGAUAAAACCUUUCCAAGAAGAAAACAUUUAAGAACCAGACACGUUUUUAAAAAUACAGAGCCCAUAAAAGUCAUGGAAUUUUGGAGCUAAAAGAGGCCUCAGAGAGCUGGUGUCUGCUUUUCAGGAUCAGGAUACUAGAAAGAGUACAGGAAUUGAAAUAGAGAUCCUGGUGUAUCUAGGACUGCUUAUGUGAUUUUAGGCAAAUGACUUAACUUCUCUAAACUGCCACUUCACCUGUUAAUUAAGGUUAAUAAUACCCACCUCUCAAGGUGUUAUGAGGAAUAAAUUAAAUGCUUAAUAUGAAGUAGGCAAAACCACGUACAACACGGUUGUGAUUUCAGAUAAAGAAAGGGACACACAAGGAGUUUAAAUGGGCAUAUGGAAAAGUGGUCAUUUAACUGCUGUGAGUAGAUUUCUUCACAAUCCUCACCUGUGAAACUCCACCAUGGCUUUUCCUGUAAGUCUGUAAGCAUUACUAAGUUGAUGUGAUGCUUUUAAUGAAAAUGACAAAAUCUUUCUACAUGCACUGUGUUCUCAUGUUCCCUGAAUUUUUUAUAUUUCUUGUUUUAAAGCAGCUGAUGCCAUCGAACCCUGAUCAUCUGUCAAUCUUAGUUUUAGUGGUGAAGGCUCAUGGUGGAUUUUGCCUAGCAGUUCAUAAUUUUGUCUCAAGGGUGCCUCAGUGUCUCAGCGUCUCCAGAAAGCCCUUCGUGGUUGUUUCUGGAAUGUGUCCCAAUGCUCACCUCACACAGGCCUAUUCUUCCUCUUCCUCAAGCCGUUGCCUGUUCGACAUGAGAUGUGUCCUUCAAUAAGUCAGUAGCAGAUUGCCUCAAGGCAGGAGACAACUAAGGCUCCAACAGAAAGGACAAAUUGCAAGAAUGGGACAGAGAUCAUAUUCUCAAAAGGACUUUUUAAUAAAAACUCACUGAAAGCAAUUAAUUUUUCCUGAUGUUUUAAUUUUCUGCCUGGACAAAGCUGAUGUUUUAACUUUGUUUACAAAGCUUCUACUGCUGGCUGUGGCUGCUGGAAUUGGUCACCGAUGGCUGGAUCUUUCACACUGGAGCCCUGGUUUUGAUUAUCCAAGAGAUGAGAGAAUCACUUCCCAAACCUUUCAUUGUCCACUACAGAGCUUCCCUUCCACCCCACCAUGCUGCCUUUCCUGUCAGGACGACAACAGCAAAGACAGCAAUAAUAAAAGCUAAUGCUUACAUUAGUGCUUGUUAUGAACCCAAGGCUUCCCUAAGCAUUACGUCUAUAUUAACUCGUUAAUACCUACUCACAACCUCCUUUAUAACACCAAGGAAGCUGGGAAUAGUAACUGCUGGUCAGAGCUGUGACAGAGGCCAUUGUCAGACUGUAGAGAGUUUUGGUGCCAAACAAUGGUUCUCAAUAGGGGGCGAUUUGGCAAAUGUUUGGAAACAUUUUUGAUUGUCUCAACUGGGGGGAUGCUACUAGCAUCCAGCGCAUAGAGGCAAAAGAUGCCACACAACAUGUGGUAACCCUCCACAACAGUUAUCCAGCCCAAAAUGUCAUCAGUGCAGAGGCUGAGAAACCCUAGUGCCACAUGAUUUAAGUGCUCUUACCCAAAUUGCCUAAAUUCAAAUCCUACUUCUGCAGCUUACUAGCUGUGGAUCCUGGGCGAGUUGCUUAAGCUCUUUAUGUGUCUGUUUUCCCAUCUUUAAAAUGGGAAUGAAAAUAGUGAUAUUACAUCAUGGGGCUGAUGCAUGAUUAAAUGUAUUAAUGUAAGUAAAAUGUUUAGCUCAGUGUCUGGCAUGUGGCAAGGGCUCCAUAUUUUAGCUUUUAUUUUUUAUUAUGUAGAGCCUUUCUGGCCUUAGGGAGACAAAUUUACGCUUCUUUUUAGUCUCGAUAGAAGCAUUGAGAGAACAUUUUCAGUCCAUGCCAUCCCAGGGAACAGUUUUUGUCCGUCUAAAUCCUGAAGAGAAUACUCUAUCUUGGCCCACUAGGAAGUUUAGGAAAAGUUAUCCUUGAUGUGUUUUAAUGCAAUGUCUCUUUGUCAUCUUUUUUUCUGCACCCUGUUUUACAAUAAAAAGCCAGUGUUUCUGUCUCGCACUUGCA